rnacentral:rRNA from 1 species
UACGUAGGGGGCGAGCGUUGUCCGGAUUUACUGGGCGUAAAGAGCGUGUAGGCGGCCAAGCAGGUCCGUUGUGAAAACUGGAGGCUUAACCUCCAGACGUCGACGGAAACCGCGUGGCUAGAGUCCGGAAGAGGAGAGUGGAAUUCCUGGUGUAGCGGUGAAAUGCGCAGAUAUCAGGAAGAACACCAAUGGCGAAGGCAGCUCUCUGGGACGGUACUGACGCUGAGACGCGAAAGCGUGGGGAGCGAACAGG